rnacentral:rRNA from 1 species
UGAGGAAUAUUGGUCAAUGGACGGAAGUCUGAACCAGCCAAGUAGCGUGCAGGAUGACGGCCCUAUGGGUUGUAAACUGCUUUUGUAUGGGGAUAAAGUUAGGGACGUGUCCCUAUUUGCAGGUACCAUACGAAUAAGGACCGGCUAAUUCCGUGCCAGCAGCCGCGGUAAUACGGAAGGUCCAGGCGUUAUCCGGAUUUAUUGGGUUUAAAGGGAGCGUAGGCUGGAGAUUAAGUGUGUUGUGAAAUGUAGACGCUCAACGUCUGAAUUGCAGCGCAUACUGGUUUCCUUGAGUACGCACGACGUUGGCGGAAUUCGUCGUGUAGCGGUGAAAUGCUUAGAUAUGACGAAGAACUCCGAUUGCGAAGGCAGCUGACGGGAGCGCAACUGACGCUUAAGCUCGAAGGUGCGGGUAUCAAACAGGAUUAGAUACCCUGGUAGUCCGCACAGUAAACGAUGGAUGCCCGCUGUUGGUACCUGGUAUCAGCGGCUAAGCGAAAGCAUUAAGCAUCCCACCUGGGGAGUACGCCGGCNACGGU